rnacentral:rRNA from 1 species
GUCGAUAAUCUUCCGCAAUGCGCGAAAGCGUGACGGAGCGACACCGCGUGAUGGAUGAAGUCCUUCGGGGCGUAAACAUCUUUUAUAAAGGAGGAAAUUUUUGACGUUACUUUAUGAAUAAGGGGCUCCCAAUCUCGUGCCAGCAGGAGCGGUAAUACGAGAGCCUCAAGCGUUAUCCGGAAUCAUUGGGCGUAAAGGGUGCGUAGGUGGUUUGAUUAGUCUCCCGUUAAAACUUCGAGUUUAACUCGAAAAGAGGGGGGGAAACGGUCAAACUAGAGUAUGUGGGAGGUGUGUGGAGCUCAUGGUGUAGGGGUGAAAUCCGUAGAUAUCAUGGUGAACACCCAAAGCGAAGGCAGCACACUGGCACAUCACUGACACUGAGGCACGAAACCUAAGGUAGCGAAUGGGAUUAGAAACCCUUGUAGUCC